rnacentral:rRNA from 1 species
GUGUCAGCCGCCGCGGUAAUACGUAGGCAGCGAGCGUUGUUCGGAGUUACUGGGCGUAAAGCGUGCGUAGGCGGUAGUCCAAGUCUGGUGUGAAAUCUCCCGGCUUAACCGGGAGGGUGCGCCGGAAACUGGGCUGCUGGAGUGCGGGAGAGGCAAGCGGAAUUCCUGGUGUAGCGGUGAAAUGCGUAGAUAUCAGGAGGAACACCCGUGGUGUAGACGGCUUGCUGGACCGUAACUGACGCUGAGGCACGAAAGCGUGGGUAGCAAACAGGAUUAGAAACCCGAGUAGUCC